GCAGCUGCAGAAGAGUCAGCUGGAUUCUAUUUUGGUGUCUUUGUUUUUCACAGCCAGCCAAUGGAGCAGAAGGAGGUCCACUCGGAAUCACCAAUGCAUAAGGUGGCCAAAGCAAACUUGCUUGAGAAAUUAGUGAAUAGCUGCCUAAGCAAAAGGCUCUCUUUGCUCAGGAAACCUCCGGAGCUCAAUUUCAAACUUUUACAGUGCUUGAUCAUCCUCCUAGCAUUGUUGAUAUUUUAUACAUAUUUCUUUCAUACUACCUGGAUAUGCCAGAUACUGCAGUGUACCUGUCGCAGGCACUAUACCAGUUGCCUUCGGCCGCACUGACCCUAGAAUAUUUGAAAGGGUCGGGACUGGAUUACUACAGUGCUGUUUUCCUUUGCUUGCUUUUGGAACAGAGCAAAAGAAAGAGUUAACUUACAAAAUAAACCUUUUCCUCAACACUAUAAAUGUGUGUGCAUUAACAUGUGGGCUUUCCUAUGAGACCUGCAUAAGUUCCUCCCACAUCUUGCACUUCUCUUUUCAGUCCUUGAACUCUUCCAGUUCUUUGCUAUGAUUAUAUAUGGACCUCAGCUGCAGAAAUUAGGUCCAUCUCCAAAUUCUGAAGGCCCAGAAAGCUUUAAGGGGUUCAUCCUUGCUGGCAUUUGAGUUCAGGUCAUUCUCUAAAAUGUCCAUGAAAUUAGGGAUUAGUGGGGCAGAUCUUUAGCUGAUGUACAUUUUCAUAGCGCCAAAUCAAUGGACGUGACAAUUUACACUAGCUGAGGCUCUGCCCCAGUGAAUACAUGUUGUCAGAGUUCAGAUGUGUGGUGCAGGUAGCAUUGAGUGCAGGGUAGAUGUCACAAUCCUACUUCGCUGGGUACUACUCCAUAGAUAGGCACAGUUGCUCCCAGUCCUCAGCACAGCACACAGACCUUGAGUCACUGAUCGAGAUGCACUCUUCCUGGUGUUUGGCUUUAGUAGCACGUUUUAAUACAGCAGAAGCCUCAGUACAAUCUUCCUGUUUGAGUGCUGGUGUUUCAAGGAUUUUCCUCCAGGAUUUCCUGUGUCCUCAUUCCCUCUCCUUUAAGAGCCACCCUCACCUCCCAU